UACGUAGGAUCCAAGCGUUAUCCGGAAUCAUUGGGUUUAAAGGGUCCGUAGGCGGCCUUAUAAGUCAGUGGUGAAAUCUCCCGGCUCAACCGGGAAAUUGCCAUUGAUACUGUAGGGCUUGAAUUAUUGGGAAGUAACUAGAAUAUGUAGUGUAGCGGUGAAAUGCUUAGAUAUUACAUGGAAUACCAAUUGCGAAGGCAGGUUACUACCAAUGAUUGACGCUGAUGGACGAAAGCGUGGGUAGCGAACAGG
rnacentral:rRNA from 1 species